rnacentral:rRNA from 1 species
AUUGAACGCUGGCGGCAUGCUUUACACAUGCAAGUCGAACGGCAGCGCGGGGCAACCUGGCGGCGAGUGGUGAACGGGUGAGUAAUAUAUCGGAACGUACCCAGAAGUGGGGGAUAACGUAGCGAAAGUUACGCUAAUACCGCAUACGAUCUACGGAUGAAAGUAGGGGACCGCAAGGCCUUAUGCUUUUGGAGCGGCCGAUAUCUGAUUAGCUAGUUGGUGAGGUAAAGGCUCACCAAGGCGACGAUCAGUAGCUGGUCUGAGAGGACGACCAGCCACACUGGAACUGAGACACGGUCCAGACUCCUACGGGAGGCAGCAGUGGGGAAUUUUGGACAAUGGGCGCAAGCCUGAUCCAGCAAUGCCGCGUGAGUGAAGAAGGCCUUCGGGUUGUAAAGCUCUUUUGUCAGGGAAGAAACGGUAGAGGCUAAUAUCCUUUGCUAAUGACGGUACCUGAAGAAUAAGCACCGGCUAACUACGUG